AGCUUGCUUCUCUUGAGAGCGGCGGACGGGUGAGUAAUACCUAGGAAUCUGCCUGAUAGUGGGGGAUAACGUUCGGAAACGGACGCUAAUACCGCAUACGUCCUACGGGAGAAAGCAGGGGACCUUCGGGCCUUGCGCUAUCAGAUGAGCCUAGGUCGGAUUAGCUAGUUGGUGAGGUAAUGGCUCACCAAGGCUACGAUCCGUAACUGGUCUGAGAGGAUGAUCAGUCACACUGGAACUGAGACACGGUCCAGACUCCUACGGGAGGCAGCAGUGGGGAAUAUUGGACAAUGGGCGAAAGCCUGAUCCAGCCAUGCCGCGUGUGUGAAGAAGGUCUUCGGAUUGUAAAGCACUUUAAGUUGGGAGGAAGGGCAUUAACCUAAUACGUUGGUGUCUUGACGUUACCGACAGAAUAAGCACCGGCUAACUCUGUGCCAGCAGCCGCGGUAAUACAGAGGGUGCAAGCGUUAAUCGGAAUUACUGGGCGUAAAGCGCGCGUAGGUGGUUUGUUAAGUUGAAUGUGAAAUCCCCGGGCUCAACCUGGGAACUGCAUCCAAAACUGGCAAGCUAGAGUAUGGUAGAGGGUAGUGGAAUUUCCUGUGUAGCG
rnacentral:rRNA from 1 species